UACGAGGGGGGCAAGCGUUGUUCGGAAUUACUGGGCGUAAAGGGCGCGUAGGCGGCUUAUCAAGUCAGGCGUGAAAUUCCCGGGCUCAACCUGGGGGCUGCGCUUGAUACUGAUUGGCUUGAAUGCGGGAGAGGAUAGUGGAAUUCCCAGUGUAGAGGUGAAAUUCGUAGAUAUUGGGAAGAACACCGGUGGCGAAGGCGGCUAUCUGGCCCGUAAUUGACGCUGAGGCGCGAAAGCGUGGGGAGCAAACAGG
rnacentral:rRNA from 1 species